rnacentral:rRNA from 1 species
AGCAGCCGCCGCGGUAAUACGUAGGGUGCGAGCGUUAAUCGGAAUUACUGGGCGUAAAGCGUGCGCAGGCGGUUAUAUAAGACAGAUGUGAAAUCCCCGGGCUCAACCUGGGAACUGCAUUUGAGACUGUAUGGCUAGAGUGUGUCAGAGGGGGGUAGAAUUCCACGUGUAGCAGUGAAAUGCGUAGAUAUGUGGAGGAAUACCGAUGGCGAAGGCAGCCCCCUGGGAUAACACUGACGCUCAUGCACGAAAGCGUGGGGAGCAAACGGGAUUAGAUACCCCUGUAGUCCCUGUCUCUUAUAC